CUUGUGCAGGCCGGCACCAGGCACAGAAGCCCAGCACAGGGCCUCUUAUCAGCCCCUCCAUCUCUUCCCCAGAACAGGCCCAGCCUGCUUGCCCAGCCUGUCACCAUGCCUGGCAGGGAUGGCAUCACCCAGCCGGCUGUAUGCAACUGCUGAAACCCCGUGGGCCCUGCUUCCAGUGCCGCACCCUCCUCACCCAGGAUGGCUGCAGGAUUUACCAGGUCCUCCGCACAGUGAAAAUGUGAACUCCUUGCCCCAAGAUGAUGAAGAAUUUCAAGACGGCAAUGGUAGAUUGGUAAAUUAACCUCAGGUGCCAUGUGACAGCACAGGUUGGGUGCUGUGAGCCAUGCAUGAAGCUCCUGGUGGGUACAGCUCUGCCUCAUGGGUCACCCCUCUCUACCGUGACCACGAGGACUGGGCUGGGUAUGCAGUGCCCUGCUGUGACUCCUGACACACAGACCCCUAGCCAUCCCCUCCACCCCCUCCCUGACCUCCUCUCCCAGGGAUGCAACUGGGGGAGCACACCCAUCCCCAGAAGAACCCCAAAUCUCUGGCUGGCUGUCUCUUACCCAACCCCCAUCCCCAGCUCCGCUGAGGGGCAAGCGUGCUGCUGGGCUGCUCCUGAGGAGAAACCCACGGCGCCACCCUCAGGCCCCCGGUGGCUCCUCAACCUGGGCCCCAUCUCUGCCCCCCAUCUUGGCUCCUCAGGCAUAUUUAAACUUUGCCCCUCCCACCCCCGUGCCUGGCGGAUCCCCUGGCACUGAGGCCCAGCCAGUGGCUCCAGCCAACGCACUUGGCUCCCGCAGCAAGUUAAAUCUAACCCAGCCCAGCUGUCUCUCCUCCGGCUCCCACCUGCCCCUCCCGUUCCCUGCAGGGAUGUGCCCACACCCUGCCCACCCUACAUGGGCCCUCAGGAAGGGUGCAGAGGUCCCCCAGGGUCCCCCACUUUCCCACACUAAGAAAGCCCUUUGCCUAGCAGCCUCUGGGGUGGGUGCCCUGCUUCUGGAGGUACCCCGGCGCCCAGGGUGGGGCCAGCAGAGUGCAGCAGGUUUUCAACAGGUAUUUCAAGAAGGAGCAGGAACCCACUUCCCAUCAGUCAGGGUGCAGCCAGGAAGAGGGAAACUCCAGGGCCAACGCUGA